UACGUAGGGUGCGAGCGUUAAUCGGAAUUACUGGGCGUAAAGCGUGCGCAGGCGGUUCGUUGUGUCGGUGGUGAAAUCCCCGGGCUCAACCUGGGAAUUGCGAUGGAGACUGCAAGGCUAGAAUCUGGCAGAGGGGGGGUAGAAUUCCACGGUGUAGCAGUGAAAUGCGUAGAGAUGUGGAGGAACACCGAUGGCGAAGGCAGCCCCCUGGGUCAAGAUUGACGCUCAUGCACGAAAGCGUGGGGGAGCAAACAGG
rnacentral:rRNA from 1 species